ACGCCGUAAACGAUGAUAACUGGGUUUGUAGCCUUAGGGUUGCGAGCCUGAGCGAAAGCGUUAAGUUAUCCACCUGGGGAGUACGUUCGCAAGUAUGAAACUCAAAGGAAUUGACGGGGGCCCGCACAAGCGGAGGAACAUGUGGUUUAAUUCGAUGAUACGCGAGGAACCUUACCCGGGUUCAAAUGUUGGUUGCAUGGAGCAGAGAUGUUCCUUUCUAGCAAUAGACCACCAGCAAGGUGCUGCAUGGUUGUCGUCAGCUCGUGCCGUGAGGUGUCGGGUCAAGUCCCAUAACGAGCGCAACCCUUGCCUCCAGUUACCAGCGGUUCAAGCCGGGGACUCAGGAGGGACUGCCGCCGUAAGGCGUGAGGAAGGGGGGGAUGACGUCAAAUCAGCACGGCCCUUACAUCCGGGGCGACACACGUGUUACAAUGGUCGGUACAGAGGGAUGCCAGGCGGCGACGCCGAGCGGAUCUCGAAAGCCGGCCGUAGUUCGGAUCGGAGUCUGCAACUCGACUCCGUGAAGCUGGAUUCGCUAGUAAUCGCAUAUCAGCCAUGAUGCGGUGAAUACGUUCCCGGGCCUUGUACACACCGCCCGUCAAGCCAUGGAAGCCGAGGGUACCUGAAGUCCGUAACCGCGAGGAGCGGCCUAGGGUAAAAUUGGUGACUGGGGCU
rnacentral:rRNA from 1 species